rnacentral:rRNA from 1 species
GAUCCUGGCUCAGGAUGAACGCUGGCGGCGUGCUUAACACAUGCAAGUCGAACGAAGCAUAUAAGACAGAUUACUUCGGUUUGAAGUCUUUUGUGACUGAGUGGCGGACGGGUGAGUAACGCGUAAUCAACCUGCCCUUCAGAGGGGGACAACAGUUGGAAACGACUGCUAAUACCGCAUACGAUCUAAUCUCGGCAUCGAGGAUAGAUGAAAGGUGGCCUCUACAUGUAAG